rnacentral:lncRNA from 10 species
CCCCGCGGUCCUAGCGCCCGGCUUACUGCCCGCGCCGCUCUGCGGCAGGCGAGGUGCGGCGCGCCAGAGCGCAGGACUUCCUGGGAGGCAGUCGAGGAGCCCUGGCUUUACAAAGAAAAGCAAAUGAAAGAUGCACUGCGAGAGGCGGGAGGAAGAAACCCUGAGUCUCCCGAGACUCAAAGUUCUCCUGCAGAAUAGAAGCCGAAUAUGACUGAGUUGAGAGAGUCGGAGGGAAGGGGAGUUGAUUUAAUGGACUCGGAUGGCCAUGGCAGUUUCUCUUCCAUUCUUCGGCCACACACACAGAAGCGCAAACUAUGUUUCAGGCGGAGUUUCGAUCUUGUCGCCCAGGCUGCAAUGCAAUGCUGCGAUCUCGGCUCACUGCAACCUCCGCCUCUCGGGUUCAAGCAAUUAUCCUGCCUCAGCCUCCUGAGUAGCUGGGACUACAGGCGCCCACCACCAUGCCCGGCUAAUUUUUGUAUUUUUAGUAGAGACGGGGUUUCACCAUAUUAGCCAGGCUGGUCUCGAACUCCUGACCUCAGAUGAUCUGCUCCCCUCGGCCUAGCUACAUCUUAUUAAUAAGCAUAAACUAAUUUUAUCUCAACAGUAAAGAUAUUUUCAAUAGGAAAAAAAGAAAAAAAAUGAUGUAUAUGAAGACUAAUAACGAGGGGGAAAGCAGGGAAAAAACGUCUGCAAAGAAAAUAAACUUGUUGGCCAGGCGCAGUGGCUCACACCUGUGAUCCCAGCACUUUGGGAGGCUGAGGCGGGCAGAUCACGAGGUCGGGAAAUCGAGACCAUCCUGACUAGCUGCAGAAUGGCGUGAACCCGGGAGGCGGAGCUUGCAGUGGGCCGAGAUGGCGCCACUGGACUCCCGCCUGGGUGACAGAGCGAGACUCUGUCUCAAUAAAAGAAAAAGAAAAUAAACUUGUUAAAUUUUCUUAA